rnacentral:rRNA from 1 species
AUUGAACGCUGGCGGCAGGCCUAACACAUGCAAGUCGAGCGGAUGAAGGGAGCUUGCUCCUGGAUUCAGCGGCGGACGGGUGAGUAAUGCCUAGGAAUCUGCCUGGUAGUGGGGGAUAACGUCCGGAAACGGGCGCUAAUACCGCAUACGUCCUGAGGGAGAAAGUGGGGGAUCUUCGGACCUCCCGCUAUCAGAUGAGCCUAGGUCGGAUUAGCUAGUUGGUGGGGUAAAGGCCUACCAAGGCGACGAUCCGUAACUGGUCUGAGAGGAUGAUCAGUCACACUGGAACUGAGACACGGUCCAGACUCCUACGGGAGGCAGCAGUGGGGAAUAUUGGACAAUGGGCGAAAGCCUGAUCCAGCCAUGCCGCGUGGGUGAAGAAGGUCUUCGGAUUGUAAAGCACUUUAAGUUGGGAGGAAGGGCAGUAAGUUAAUACCUUGCUGUUUUGACGUUACCAACAGAAUAAGCACCGGCUAACUUCGUG